rnacentral:rRNA from 1 species
AGAGUUUGAUCCUGGCUCAGAUUGAACGCUGGCGGCAUGCCUUACACAUGCAAGUCGAACGGCAGCACGGGAGCAAUCCUGGUGGCGAGUGGCGAACGGGUGAGUAAUACAUCGGAACGUGCCCAAUCGUGGGGGAUAACGCAGCGAAAGCUGUGCUAAUACCGCAUACGAUCUACGGAUGAAAGCAGGGGACCGCAAGGCCUUGCGCGAGUGGAGCGGCCGAUGGCAGAUUAGGUAGUUGGUGAGGUAAAGGCUCACCAAGCCUUCGAUCUGUAGCUGGUCUGAGAGGACGACCAGCCACACUGGGACUGAGACACGGCCCAGACUCCUACGGGAGGCAGCAGUGGGGAAUUUUGGACAAUGGGCGCAAGCCUGAUCCAGCCAUGCCGCGUGCAGGAUGAAGGCCUUCGGGUUGUAAACUGCUUUUGUACGGAACGAAACGGCUCUUUCUAAUAAAGAGGGCUAAUGACGGUACCGUAAGAAUAAGCACCGGCUAACUACGUGCCAGCAGCCGCGGUAAUACGUAGGGUGCAAGCGUUAAUCGGAAUUACUGGGCGUAAAGCGUGCGCAGGCGGUGAUGUAAGACAGUUGUGAAAUCCCCGGGCUCAACCUGGGAACUGCAUCUGUGACUGCAUCGCUGGAGUGCGGCAGAGGGGGAUGGAAUUCCGCGUAGCAGUGAAAUGCGUAGAUAUGCGGAGGAACACCGAUGGCGAAGGCAAUCCCCUGGGCCUGCACUGACGCUCAUGCACGAAAGCGUGGGGAGCAAACAGGAUUAGAUACCCCAGUAGUCC